UACGGAGGGUGCAAGCAUUAAUCGGAUUUAUUGGGCGUAAAGGGCGCGUAGGCGGACCGGAAAGUCAGAUGUGAAAUCCUGGGGCUCAACCCCAGAACAGCAUACGAAACUCCCGGUCUAGAGGGUAGUCGGAGGAAAUGGAAUUCCACAAGUAGCGGUGAAAUGCGUAGAUAUGUGGAAGAACACCGGUGGCGAAGGCGGUUUCCUAGAUUACUCCUGACGCUGAGGCGCGAAAGUAAGGGGAUCAAACAGG
rnacentral:rRNA from 1 species